rnacentral:rRNA from 1 species
CGUCUCCUACGGGACGCAGCAGUGGGGGAUAUUGCACAAUGGGGGGAACCCUGAUGCAGCGACGCCGCGUGGGUGAAGAAGCGCCUCGGCGCGUAAAGCCCUGUCAGCAGGGAAGAAAAUGACGGUACCUGAAGAAGAAGCCCCGGCUAACUACGUGCCAGCAGCCGCGGUAAUGCGUAGGGGGCAAGCGUUAUCCGGAUUUACUGGGUGUAAAGGGGGCGCAGACGGCGAUGCAACCCAGGAGUGAAAGCCCG